rnacentral:rRNA from 1 species
CCUACGGGAGGCAGCAGUGGGGAAUAUUGCACAAUGGGGGAAACCCUGAUGCAGCGACGCCGCGUGAGUGAAGAAGUAUUUCGGUAUGUAAAGCUCUAUCAGCAGGGAAGAAGAAAGACGGUACCUGACUAAGAAGCCCCGGCUAACUACGUGCCAGCAGCCGCGGUAAUACGUAGGGGGCAAGCGUUAUCCGGAUUUACUGGGUGGAAAGGGAGAGUAGACGGCUGUGCAAGUCUGAAGUGAAAGCCCAGGGCUCAACCCUGGGACUGCUUUGGAAACUGGGGAGCUAGAGUGCUGGAGAGGUAAGUGGAAUUCCUAGUGUAGCGGUGAAAUGCGUAGAUAUUAGGAGGAACACCAGUGGCGAAGGCGGCUUACUGGACAGUAACUGACGUUGAGGCUCGAAAGCGUGGGGAGCAAACAGGAUUAGAUACCCUGGUAGUC